AUUGAACGCUGGCGGCAGGCCUAACACGUGCAAGUCGAGCGGAUGAAGGGAGCUUGCUCCUGGAUUCAGCGGCGGACGGGUGAGUAAUGCCUAGGAAUCUGCCUGGUAGUGGGGGAUAACGUCCGGAAACGGGCGCUAAUACCGCAUACGUCCUGAGGGAGAAAGUGGGGGAUCUUCGGACCUCACGCUAUCAGAUGAGCCUAGGUCGGAUUAGCUAGUUGGUGGGGUAAAGGCCUACCAAGGCGACGAUCCGUAACUGGUCUGAGAGGAUGAUCAGUCACACUGGAACUGAGACACGGUCCAGACUCCUACGGGAGGCAGCAGUGGGGAAUAUUGGACAAUGGGCGAAAGCCUGAUCCAGCCAUGCCGCGUGUGUGAAGAAGGUCUUCGGAUUGUAAAGCACUUUAAGUUGGGAGGAAGGGCAGUAAGUUAACACCUUGCUGUUUUGACGUUACCAACAGAAUAAGCACCGGCUAACUUCGUG
rnacentral:rRNA from 1 species